GGGUAGAGGAAAUGUGCCAGAGGAGAGGGAGAGAUUGAAAAUUUUAGUGAGAGGCAGAGCAAGAGAAAGAGACAAAGUGCAGAUGAGAUACGAGGGAAUAGGAUCGAGGGAAGAGGUGGUGGGGCACGGAGCAGAGCAGAAACCUCUUCUGCUUUAGUGGGUGCAAAUGAACAUAGGACAGCUGAGGGAGUGUAGUUAGGUGAAAAGUUAGUAGUGGAUGGAGAGAGAUGAGAGAUCUCUUCCCUGAUUGUAGAAAUCUUCUCAGUGAAGUGAGUUGCAAAGUUCGAGGCGGUCAAGUUGGAAGGAGGCACGACAGGGCACAGAAGAGAGUUAAAAGCAUGAAACAGUCAUUUGGGCUAGCGGGAGAGUGUGGUUAUGAGUGUAUUGAAGAAGUUUUCUUUUGAAGAGGAAAGAGCCAGACUGUAGGAGCGCAGCAUAAAUAUGUAGUGGAGACAGUCAGACGCAGAGUGAGAUUUUCU